AGUACUCACAAGAGGUGCUUUUGCUGAGAUAGGUGGAAACCUGGACUCUUUGAACCUGAGAAAGUUAAGACUUGCGUAGGGAUGUGAGAAUUCAAGUAU
rnacentral:ncRNA from 2 species